AGUGAACGCUGGCGGUAGGCCUAACACAUGCAAGUCGAACGGCAGCACAGUAAGGGCUUGCUCUUACGGGUGGCGAGUGGCGGACGGGUGAGGAAUACAUCGGAAUCUACUUUUUCGUGGGGGAUAACGUAGGGAAACUUACGCUAAUACCGCAUACGACCUACGGGUGAAAGCAGGGGAUCUUCGGACCUUGCGCGAUUGAAUGAGCCGAUGUCGGAUUAGCUAUUGGCGGGGUAAAGGCCCACCAAGGCGACGAUCCGUAGCUGGUCUGAGAGGAUGAUCAGCCACACUGGAACUGAGACACGGUCCAGACUCCUACGGGAGGCAGCAGUGGGGAAUAUUGGACAAUGGGCGCAAGCCUGAUCCAGCCAUACCGCGUGGGUGAAGAAGGCCUUCGGGUUGUAAAGCCCUUUUGUUGGGAAAGAAAAGCAGCAGGUUAAUACCCCGCUGUUCUGACGGUACCCAAAGAAUAAGCACCGGCUAACUUCGUG
rnacentral:rRNA from 1 species